UCAAAUUUGUUCUUAUUAUUUUCUAGAAUUUUAUUACUUUUUUGUCAACCAUAUAUUAUUACUUUUAAAGCAUUUAACCCACUUUUAAAACAUGAUAACCCAGCCCACUUAAGUACAUCAAAUAAGGAUGAAAAGAAAUUAAAACAUCAACACGUGUUUUCCUCAUCCUCAACGUGUCUUCGACUCUUUCCGCGCGUCUUCAGAUUAAGCAAUGGGAGUGCUACGUGUUACAGACAGAGAAAAAGCUGCAGUGCCACCGGAAAGCUUCUCUGCCGAUUGCCGGAGAUGAUCAAUCGUGGAGCUGUCUUUCAACCUCAAGCUUGAUUAAUCCACUUGAUUGCUUACUCUUAUAAUCUCAUAUGCCUCCAAAGAUUUUGAUCAUCUUCACAGGAUGUGACAAACACCUAUAAGCUUCAAACGAUUUAGAAAAAGCCAUAGCCAAAAUACUUGCGAAUAAGCAAGCUUCGACUCUUCUUAGAGAGAAUCAAAUCACGAAGACAAACUUGCAAAUCUCAAUCUUUUAUCUCUUUUGAAUACUUCGCUUAAACUUUGAUGAAGCAAAGAUUAAUAUCAUCUGAGAAAAAGAUUGAGGAUAACCAACAAAGAGAAGAAAACUGAAGAGAUAAUCGGGAUAUGUCCAGAGGUUAUGAAGAUGAGGAACUUUAUUGAUUCAAUCGAAACAGAGAAAUAAAGAUAGAAAGAUGAAGAAACUGAUCUGUAUAGAUUGACAUCACAACAAAAACCGCCUAGCGACAAGAGAAUCCGAAGAAAAGAUCGAUCUAUAGAUCGAAAUAUGUUACAAACAACAGUUUAAACUUUGCUGGUGUUAUUGGCUGUAUAAGUCUAAAUCAACACCAUCAGACAAAACAUAUAAGAUUUUUAAAAAUUUGGAUUCAGUUUAACAUUUAAUAUAUACGAUUUAUCUAUAAUUUUUAAAUCCUUAUCAAUUUAUUUAUAAAUCAACAAGAUAUCAUUUUGUUUCUAUAACAGAAUUGAACUACAUUUUAAGAGAAUUAUAAUUUAAAAUUUAUGUGAAGGAAUUUUUUAUAAGAACAUAAACUGAAACAAAAAUACUUCAAACACAACAAAACUAUAUAAUCAUACUACAACGACAAUUAAAUCGAAACGAAGCGAGUAUUUUGUUUUCUUUUCUCCAUAAGUUAGCUUGACGUUAGAAUUUAUGUUAGAUGUGUUUUUGGUUUCACAAAUCUCAAGGUAAAAUGAAAGAUUUUGAUCUAAAGAGUUUACACAGAAAAAUAAAUUUAAAUCCUUUCAAAAUAUUUCAAAUCAAAUGAACUGUAAUAAUCUAUCAAACAUGAAUAACACUAGAUUUAAAAUGUUGAAUUUAAAUCUUUGAUUGAAUAACACAGGAACUAAAAUUCCUUUGUUAAAAAAAUUUGAAAUACUAAUAACACAAGAUUUUGAUAUCAUUUAGUAAAGAUAUUUUAAAUAAAAUAACCAAUAACACUAGAUUUGGAAACAAAAUUUAAAAUUCAUCAUUGAAUAACAUUAGAUUGAAAAAACUAUAUAAUUAAUUCUAAAUUCACUAUCCAAUAACACCACCUUGAUCUCUUCCCUCUGAAAGAUUUGGAAGCGGUAAGAAGGGUAGAUAGAAAAUUU
rnacentral:lncRNA from 1 species